rnacentral:rRNA from 1 species
UACGUAGGGAGCAAGCGUUGUCCGGAUUUACUGGGUGUAAAGGGUGCGUAGGCGGGAACACAAGUCAGGCGUGAAAUACCGGGGCUCAACUCCGGGGCUGCGCUUGAAACUGUGUUUCUUGAGUGAAGUAGAGGCAGGCGGAAUUCCUAGUGUAGCGGUGGAAUGCGUAGAUAUUAGGAGGAACACCAGUGGCGAAGGCGGCCUGCUGGGCUUUAACUGACGCUGAUGCACGAAAGCAUGGGGAGCAAACAGG